GUUCCCUAUGAUGCUUGAAUUUGACCAUGCUAAUUCUGAUAUUGAUGAUACCGUUUUCAGUCAUUUCUGAGGGAACA